CCCUUAGAUGUUCUGGACUGCACGCGCGCUACACUGAUGCGAUCAACAAGUUUUUCCUAUGUCGAUAGACACGGGUAAUCUUUUGAACUCGCAUCGUGAUGGGGAUAGAUUAUUGUAAUUAUUAAUCUUCAACGAGGAAUUCCUAGUAGGUGCAAAUCAUCAGUUUGCAUCGAUUACGUCCCUGCCCUUUGUACACACCGCCCGUCGCUGCUACCGAUUGGUUGAUCUGGUGAAUUAUUCGGACUGCCGGCUGAAGGGGUUUCCUCAUCUGCCAGCGGAAAGUCUUGUUAACCCUAUCAACUAGAGGAAGCAGAAGUCGUAACA
rnacentral:rRNA from 1 species